rnacentral:rRNA from 1 species
AUUGAACGCUGGCGGCAGGCCUAACACAUGCAAGUCGAGCGAGCGCCGGACAGGGGAGUAAUAUAUGGGGGCUGCGCGCUAGAGGGGGAUAACUACUGUAAACGGUGGCUAAUACCGCAUACUAUCGGAUUACACAUAUGGGAUUGGCUAGUAGGUAAGGUAAUGGCUUACCUAGGCGACGAUCCCUAGCUGGUCUGAGAGGAUGAUCAGCCACACUGGGACUGAGACACGGCCCAGACUCCUACGGAGGCAGCAGUGGGGAAUAUUGCACAAUGGGCGCAAGCCUGAUGCAGCCAUGCCGCGUGUAUGAAGAAGGCCCUAGGGUUGUAAAGUACUUUCAGUCGGGAGGCGUUACCGACAGAAGAAGCACCGGCUAACUACGUGCCAGCAGCCGCGGUAAUUC